UACGAAGGGGGCUAGCGUUGCUCGGAAUCACUGGGCGUAAAGCGCACGUAGGCGGUUUCUUAAGUCAGGGUGAAAUCCUGGAGCUCAACUCCAGAACUGCCUUUGAUACUGGGAGACUUCGAGUCCGGGAGAGGUGAGUGGAACUGCGAGUGUAGAGGUGAAAUUCGUAGAUAUUCGCAAGAACACCAGUGGCGAAGGCGGCUCACUGGCCCGGUACUGACGCUGAGGUGCGAAAGCGUGGGGAGCAAACAGG
rnacentral:rRNA from 1 species